GAUGCGCAUUACAGGGAUCAUAGCCACGGCUGCUACGAAAUUAGCCUUCUGGUGGCUCCACAUCAACAUCAUCACGGCUGCUAUGAAAUUAGCCUCCUAGUGGCUCCUCAUCAACAUCAUAGACAAAAAAGAAACCCUUCAUCCAAUUGAACGGACGCUAGAGGGAUCAUAGCCAAUGCUGCUAGUGAAGCUAGCCAUCCAGGAGCUCCUCCACAACAUCAUUGAGCAGAAAAACUCCAAAUCCAGUUCAACAGGUCCGUCAAGAAUCAUAGCCACAGCUGCUACUCAAGGUAGCCUUCCAGAGGCUCCUCCUCAACAACAUCCAACAGAUGCAAUUCAACAAUGACAAAACCGAUCAUCACCACGGCUGCUACCCAGAGGCUCAUUGUACAUAACAUAACUUGUAAUAGGGACAGAUUCAUACCAACAACUCCAUCUCCACGCAUUAUCUACACGGGACAUGUUUGCAGAUGAAAUAAACCGCAACAGAUUGAACAACAGCUACAACAGAUCAUAAAUAAGCUAAUGUAUGCACUGAAAAUAAUAAGAAACCAUGACAGAUCUACAAGUAGACAUGCAUAUCUGGCAAGGAUACCCAACUAGCAAGGAAACCCUAUCAUCAUAUCACCUUCCCUAGAACCCAACCCGUGCCGCAUGUACUGGAUUUGCAACAAAUUAACCGCAACAGAUCGAAGAACAGUAGCAACAUAUCUUAAAGAAAUUCAUGUUUGUACUGAAAAUAACAAGAAACCAUGCAAGAUCUACAAGUACACAUGCAUAUCCAGCGAGGAUACCCUACUAAGCGUGCAAGAAAACCUAGGUAAAGAACAACUUCCCUUGAACCCAACCCAUGCCAGAUUUAGUCCAUUUCCAUGAAACAAAACUCAACAAAUCGAAGAACAGUACCAAAGAUCCAUCGUAAGAGCCCCAAU
rnacentral:lncRNA from 1 species